GUUGAGGUAGUUCAGUUUGGUUAGAACAACAGCGUAGAUGUCGUCGGUUCGAAUCCGAUCUUAAACU
rnacentral:tRNA from 1 species